rnacentral:rRNA from 1 species
GACGACGCUGGCGGCGUGCUUAACACAUGCAAGUCGAACGGUGACGAGGAGCUUGCUCCUCCGAUCAGUGGCGAACGGGUGAGUAACACGUGAGUAACCUGCCCCAGACUCUGGGAUAACAGUUGGAAACAGCUGCUAAUACCGGAUACGAGACGGAGAGGCAUCUCUACCGUCUGGAAAGUUUUUCGGUCUGGGAUGGACUCGCGGCCUAUCAGCUUGUUGGUGAGGUAAUGGCUCACCAAGGCGACGACGGGUAGCCGGCCUGAGAGGGCGACCGGCCACACUGGGACUGAGACACGGCCCAGACUCCUACGGGAGGCAGCAGUGGGGAAUAUUGCACAAUGGGCGAAAGCCUGAUGCAGCGACGCCGCGUGAGGGAUGACGGCCUUCGGGUUGUAAACCUCUUUCAGCAGGAAAGAAGCGAAAGUGACGGUACCUGCAGAAGAAGCACCGGCUAACUACGUG